UACAGAGGUGGCAAGCGUUGUUCGGAAUUACUGGGCGUAAAGGGCGCGUAGGCGGCCCGCUAAGUCGAACGUGAAAUCCCCGAGCUCAACCCGGGAACUGCGUCCGAGACUGGCAGGCUCGAAUCCGGGAGAGGGAUGUGGAAUUCCAGGUGUAGCGGUGAAAUGCGUAGAUAUCUGGAGGAACACCGGUGGCGAAGGCGGCAUCCUGGACCGGUAUUGACGCUGAGGCGCGAAAGCCAGGGGAGCAAACGGG
rnacentral:rRNA from 1 species